AUGAGCUCCGUUUCUCUUCUGCUGUUUCUGGCAGCUGCUUCCUGUGUUCAUUCUAUUGAACUGAUCCAGUCUGAAAAUGUGGUUGUGCGGCCCGGAGAGUCUUUUAAGAUCUCCUGUAAAUUCUCUGGGUUCUCGCUAUCCAGCUACUGUCCACGUUGGAUACGGCAUCCAGCAGGAAAGCCAAUGGAAUAUAUGGGGCAUGUGUGCAGCAGCAGCAGCUCAGUGAAGGAUUCACUAAAGAGCAAAAUCAGCUUCACUGCAGACGCUUCCAGCAGCACAGUGUUUUUAACAGGGCAGAAUUUCCAGCCUGAGGACAGCGCUGUGUAUUACUGCGCUCGAUACACACAGUUAUUCAACCUGCUGCUGCAGCUGUACAAAAACACAACAGCCAGUGUCUUCAGUUCGAGUGUUGAAUGCAUUGAGCUGGUUCAGCCUGCUGCCAUGGUUGUUAAACCUGGCUUACAAUUUUGA